ACAUAUUCUAGAGCCUAAUUCAAUAUAAUUUAAUAAAUAAAAUUACUACCAAAUCCUAAAAAAAUAAAAUUUACAAAUUUAAUUCUAUUAUUGUAACCCAUCUCUUCUUUUAAAAACUGCACCUUGAUUUGAUCUAAAAUAAAAUUUUAUUUAAAGAAAAUUAUAUUUUUCUAAAAAUAUUCAUUACAACAACGAUAUACAAGUAAUAAUAAAAGUAAAAUAAAUUGUGGAUUAUCAAUUACAGGACAGGUUCCUCUGGUAGGUUAAAAUACCGCCAAGAUAUUUAAUUUUCAAGUCCUUAACUAUUACUAAUCAGGCCUAUUAAUUUACAAUUUAAAUAACAGGGUAUCUAAUCCUGGUCUAUAAAUAAAAUUUUCCUAGAUCAUUCAAUAACUAAAAUUUUCACCUUGCAUUAAAAUUUCACCUCUCAAUACAAUUCUUUUAAUUAAUAAUAAAUUAACUAUAACCAUAAAAAUUAAGUUACACCUUUUGUAUAACCGCA
rnacentral:rRNA from 1 species